rnacentral:rRNA from 1 species
UACGUAGGGUGCAGGCGUUAAUCGGAAUUACUGGGCGUAAAGCGUGCGCAGGCGGUCUUUUAAGUCAGAUGUGAAAUCCCCGGGCUUAACCUGGGAACUGCGUUUGAAACUGGAAGGCUAGAGUGUGGCAGAGGGGGGUGGAAUUCCGCGUGUAGCAGUGAAAUGCGUAGAGAUGUGGAGGAACACCGAUGGCGAAGGCAGCCCCCUGGGUUAACACUGACGCUCAGGCACGAAAGCGUGGGGAGCAAACAGG